UGGGGAAUAUUGCACAAUGGGGGAAACCCUGAUGCAGCGACGCCGCGUGAACGAAGAAGGUAUUCGUAUCGUAAAGUUCUGUCCUAUGGGAAGAUAAUGACAGUACCAUAGAAGAAAGCUCCGGCUAAAUACGUGCCAGCAGCCGCGGUAAUACGUAUGGAGCGAGCGUUGUCCGGAAUUAUUGGGCGUAAACGGUACGCAGGCGGUUUAAUAAGUCGAAUGUUAAAGAUCGGGGCUCAACCCCGCAAAGCAUUGGAAACUGAUAAACUUGAGUAGUGGAGAGGAAAGUGGAAUUCCUAGUGUAGUGGUGAAAUACGUAGAUAUUAGGAGGAAUACCAGUAGCGAAGGCGACUUUCUGGACACAAACUGACGCUGAGGUACGAAAGCGUGGGGAGCAAACAGG
rnacentral:rRNA from 1 species